CCAAGGAUGUUUUCAUUAAUCAAGAACGAAAGUUAGGGGAUCGAAGACGAUCAGAUACCGUCGUAGUCUUAACCAUAAACGAUGCCGACCAGCGAUUAGGAGACGUUGAAUACAAAACACCACCAUCGGUUGCGGUCGUCCUUGGCGUCUCGGUUUCGGCCGGGGCGCGGGGAUGGCUUAGCCCGGUGGCACCGGUGAAU
rnacentral:rRNA from 1 species